rnacentral:rRNA from 1 species
UAACGUAGGGGGCAAGCGUUGUCCGGAAUCAUUGGGCGUAAAGAGCGUGUAGGCGGCCAGACAGGUCCGUUGUGAAAACUGGAGGCUCAACCUCCAGACGUCGAUGGAAACCGUCUGGCUAGAGUCCGGAAGAGGAGAGUGGAAUUCCUGGUGUAGCGGUGAAAUGACGCAGAUAUCAGGAAGAACACCCGUGGCGAAAGCGGCUCUCUGGGACGGUACUGACGCUGAGACGCGAAAGCGUGGGGAGCGAACAGG